AGAAUAAGAGAAGACUGAGCAUUUAAGCAAAUCUGUAUUUGGCUGAUGCAAUAUACUGAAACUCUAUCAAUCUGCAUUUAUAUCUGCUUUGGGCCUCUUGCUAUUUGGUAUUUUCAGCAGUGACUUGGAUAACAAAAUAGAGGGCCUGCUUAUCAAAUUCUCGAAAGUCAAAUUUGUGAGGGAUAGCCAACACUCUGAAUAACAAAAUAAAAAUUAUGAAGACUGUCAGCUUAAAGAGUGAACAAGAUGAAAAUCAAUAGAAUAAAUGGGAAGUCCCACACUUAGAUUAAAACCUCCAUUGCAAGAGACAGGUUUGGGGAAAUGUAACUUAAUAUCAGUUUCUAUAAAGAAAGACAUUGAUUGUUGGCACAAUUUAUGAUAAAGAGUGGAGUGAUCUUACACUGAGCUAAUAGAAAUAUAGCCUAGAGAAUGUCAGAGAUAACAAUCUAAAUCUACUCUGUGAUGAUUCAGUUAAAUCUAGAGUCUUAUGUUUGGCUAAUAUGUUUUAAAAGAGCCAUUGAAAACAAGAUGGUAAUUGCAUGGUAAAAACAUAGUCUGUAGGCGUUCCUGGUGGCUCAAUGCUAACAAACCCCACUAGUAUCCGUGAGGAUGUGGGUUUGAUCCCUGGCUGUGCUCAGUGGGUUAAGGAUCCAGCGUUGCUGUGAGCUGUGCUAUAGAUCACAGAUGUGGCUCUGAUCUGGCAUACAAAAAAAAAAAAAAAAAAAAAUUCUGUGUACUUCCUUACGAGAUGAUUAGACUGAGGAACAGCGAGUUCCUAUGGUGACUCAGCAGUAACAAAACCAACUAGUAACCAUGAGGAUUCACAUUUGAUCCCUGGCCUCAGUCAGUGGGUUAAGGAUCUGGAUUGCUGUAAGACCAAAACUUUCUUCAUAAAUUAAACUUAAAUUUUGGUUCCAAUUUAAGGAAAUACUUUCCAGAAACUUAAGUUAUGUUGCAAAACCAGGCACGCUCUUGCUAGAACAGAUCCUGGAAGUUUGGCCUAAAGGACACACGGGCUUUCAGUAGGGGUGGAGUUGGAUGACCUCUGGUAUCCUUAUGAUGUCACAAGAGGGCGUUGGACUUGAAAAGUCACAUCGUGAUCAGGAAAGUAUGUUAUUUGGUAUUAGCCACCCAAGCUGUUGAGAUGGGCACAGAGGUGCUCUUUGCUAUUUGCUGAGCUCAUUCUUGUUUGAUGGACAGGUGCUGUUCCCACUGAAGCUGGCUCAGCUCUCUUUGUUUUGGUUACUUUGAAGCAGAGGGACUAAUCCCCUCUGGAGAUAUUUGCUUGUUUUUGCUGUCAGAGCAGUCACACUUUUCCUUUUGUUUCCCUUGGCUUGUUUUUUGAAGUUUAGCUUCACAGAAAAAUAGGCCUCCGGUUUCCUUGGUGAUUCACUGGGUUUGGAUGGCCCCUCCUCCACCCCCUAAAACAGCCACUGAUAGGUUCUUCGUUCUGGUUUUCAUUUCAGCCUGCAGAAAGAAGUUCAGAAGACCAUUUUUGGGGCUGAUGCUUAAAAAUUCCUUGCAAAAAGUACCUCUCAGAGGUCAAGACAGGCCAGGCUUCCCUUUCUCCCUUCUUUCCUUCAUUCCUUCUUUCCUUCCAUCCAUCCUUCCAUACUUUCUAUAUGGCAAAAGGAGGAAAUGGUAAAUGUUUUCACUUUAUAUUUUAGAAGUUAAUGCUUUCAUCAGAAACAAAUAUAGCAACUCUAUAUUAACCCUAUUUGGUAAAAGCAUCAGUGAUAUACAUUUGAGGCCUUUGCCAUUAGGGACAUGACAAGUUGACCUUUCUAGCCAUUCUUCUACAGGGUCCUUUUCCAAAAUAGUAUUUUCAUAACAGCAUGGAUUUCAAAACACUUUUAUAAAAAUUGAGCUUGAAGUGAAAAAAGGAAAAUGUUUUAACGAUUGUAUGUAAGUUAAACUACAAAUAUCUGCUCCUGCUUUAUAACCUGAAUGUGUUCCAUUAAUGCCAUAUGAAAUGGAGAAUUUAAAUCAAAAAUAAAUUAAUAUACCUUCCCUGAGGUAUAUACAGCUAGUUGGUAGCCAUUUUUCAUUGUUUUGUCAUGUUGCCAGAAUGAAAAUGCCCUAUGGAGCCUUAUGGACCAGCAGCAUCAACAUCAUCUGGAAACUUAGAAAUUCAGAAUCCCAGGCCCUGGCCCAGACUUAUUUUAUCAAAAUCUGUACUUUAACAAUAUCUGCCAGGGACUCAUAAACACAUUAACAUUUUAGAACACAGAUGUUCAAAAAACUUACAGCCAUCUAUGAUCUAACAGGUAGAGCCAUCUCUAAAAUAGAUUUCACUAUUUUAAUGAUAGAACUUCUAAAGGGCUGUCAUGCCAAAACCAUGACCUGCUAACUUCUUUUUUUUUAAUUUUAGUUUUAUUAGAAUAUCGUUGAUGUACAGUGUUGUGUCAAUUUCUACUGUAUAGCAUAGUGACCCAGUCAUAUAUACAUACACACUUUUUUCUGAUACUAUUUUCCAUCAUGCUCUAUCCCAAGAGAUUGGAUAUAGCUCCCUGUGCUGUGCAGUAGGACCUCAUUGCUUAUCCAUUCUAAAUGUAAUAGUUUUCCUCUUGUUUUAUUUGGGAUAAAUUCUGUGGUUUUAAAAGUGGAGGCCAAUGUUCUCUAUUUCUUUAUAGUCUCUAAGAACAGAAUUUUAUAUGUUCUAGAUCAAGGACACACAUUUUGUGCGAAGGUCCACAAGUUCCAGGGUGAAGAGCAAAAUUUCUAAAAUCCCUUAAUUCCAUAAACAAGACUCUCCUGGUGUGGUAGAGAUGUUUGAUUCUCAUUGUAUUAUGUACUUUUGGAUCAAUUCUUUCACUUCUUCCCCAUGGCUCUUAUGGUGUAAGUACUUUGGGGUUUCCUAAUGGGAGAGAAAUGCAUCUUUUUUUCCCAUCAAGAACUUCUAGAAGACUAAUAGGAAACCACUUCAGGGAAAAGGAAGUAUGAAAAGGAGAAUAUAGUCCAGACUCCUUGCAAAAGGAGUCUUCAUGGCUCAUACGUAUUCUUGUACAUUUUGUCAGUGUUGGAAACAGUCAGUGGACUUAGACCCAACCUCUGUCUAGAAACAGUAGUGUUCACACUUUGUUUAUUCUCCAUGAAGAUCUCCAUUACUGACCUAGCAUGUGGUAGGUGGUUGAAUCCUUUUCAGCAACAAAAACACAAAUGACAUCUCCUAGCACAUCUGUGCUCCAUCUUUAAGAAUUUGAUUCUGUUUACGCAAUAAAUAUCCUUGCAAGGAGUGGGAGAUCAGAUUAAGUACAUCUCAACACUUUGCAUUAACGAAUGCUCUGAGUGAGGGCUUUGGUUAACAGAGUUAGCAUGUGAAGCCACAGUGCAAUCCAUCACCCAAGGGAAAAGGUUAACCCGACACCUGAAGCAGGAAUCAUUUUCACACUGGGUCAUCCAUAGCAUUAAGAGAUUAUUCAUCACAAAAUUUCCUCUGGUAUCACUCCAUAUUUUAUCCACUCCAGGAAAGAACAGCAAGGAAAAUAGGGAAAAUGAAGACAGACCACUGCUUAAAUCACCUUAAAUUCUUUAUCUUAAUUGUGAGUAUGGUCUAAACUGUAUUGGAUUUCUGGAAUACAAUGUUGUGAAAGCAAACAGAUUAUGAACUCAGGGUUGGAGAUAUUUUACUUUCAUUUUUCCUAGUUGCCUCAAUACUUAUGUGGGGGUAAACUUCAGCAUGUCCUUAUUUGAGAUGAAUUAAUAAUGGUAUAGGGUCAUUGUGAUAUUUUGAUGAGGUAAAGCAUGUGGAAGCACUUGGCAAACUGAAAACGGCAGCACAUAUAUUGUAUGUACACAUACAAACAAAUAUUACUUAUUCUCUCACUUGCAAUUUUCUCCACAGAGGUCAACCCUGAUGGUAACCUAAAGACCUGAGAUGCAAAUCGUUCUCUUUAGAUUUCACUUUGUUAUUUAUCAGAAUCUGCAAUUGAUGAGCAAACACCUGCUGUUAGCAUCUUUCUCUCAUUUAUUCAGUUCUGUCCCCUUGCUCUGCUUAUUCCCUAGACUAUUCUAAAAAGUUCCCUCUCUUCUCUCAGUGUUUACAUUCUUCAAACACUCAUAGACAGUUAUCAUAUGCCACCUCGGUUGUUGCUUUGCCAAGCUAUACAGAUUUCAUCCUUUCAUCUUUCCUCAUAAGUCAAUGCCUCCAUCUCUUUAAUCAUUUUUCUUGCUGUUCUCUGAAUUCCAUCCAAUUUGUUGAUAUCUUUCGGGUGUGGGGGGUGCCAAGAACAGAGUGUACAGUGUGAUUAAGGAGCCGUGUCCAUCACUUCUCAGCCAGAUGGGACGGUUGUUACUUCAGAAGACAUGUUGAAUGUAUACUGAAGCCUGAGAUAAAGGGAAAGGAAACAGUAACUCUUGAGAAAGUAAUUCUACAAUUCAUUGUCCCUAGGGAAAAUAAAAUGAGCAUUUAAUUAAAAGAUGCUUUUCUAGUUUUGUGGCUAGCAGAUGCUAUUUGGGUGAAAAAAGGCAGAAAAUGGCAUCAUUUAAUAAGAUAAGGAAACACAAUAGCAUAAUACCACAAAUUAGGCCCUUUCUCACAUUUAGGGAAACAAUGCUAAACUAUGAACAAUAUUAUCUUGAGAGAUGUUUUACUCAAAUAUGAAGGGAGAAGGGAAAUUUGGAUCAAGUAAUUUAAAAAAUUUAAAAUAUUCUCUGUAUCAUGCUAAUGCAGAUAAUAUCUAAUUCAUAAAACGUACCCUGCAAAACAAAUAAAUUCGGGAAAUUUAUAUUUAUGUGGAGUUUCCAUCAGAGGUUUUUAGGUUAUCUUUCAAGAUUGAGGUUUAGGUUUACUUAUAGGAUGAAUGAGAGAUUAAGAUAUAAAUAUUUGUUAUGUGGAAUGCCCAUAGUUGAUAUUUUCUAGUGUAUUAGACCGAAGCUGGAUAUAGAUAUUUCAGCCAGACGCGUUAUUGAAGCUGAGUUUCAUUGCAGCCCUAAUUUAUCUUUAGCGUUUUGCUUUAUGCUUAUGUUUAAAGUUUUACUGUACUCAUUGAACUGUGCUUGAUCAUUAAUAAUGGCAGCUAUCUUUAAUGAGAUGCAUGUCACCCUCUAGCAGGUGGUAUGGGCUAAUAGUCUGAGCAUUGAAUUAUGAGUCAGAAAGGAAAUACUUCUUAUAUAGGACUAUAUUGUAAAAAGAGAAAAAUGUAAGCAUCUUAAAAUGGAAUAAUAUUGAAAAGGGAG
rnacentral:lncRNA from 1 species